rfam:Myotis brandtii contig319689, whole genome shotgun sequence.
GGCCGGGUAGCUCAGUUGAUUAGAGUGUUGUCCUGAUAUGCCAAAGUUCUGGGUUUGAUCCCCAGUCAGGGUG